rnacentral:rRNA from 1 species
GUAUCCUACGGGACGCAGCAGUGGGGGAUAUUGCACAAUGGGGGAAACCCUGAUGCAGCGACGCCGCGUGAGUGAAGAAGUAAUUCGUUACGUAAAGCUCUAUCAGCAGGGAAGAAAAUGACGGUACCUGACUAAGAAGCCCCGGCUAACUACGUGCCAGCAGCCGCGGUAAUACGUAGGGGGCAAGCGUUAUCCGGAAUUACUGGGUGUAAAGGGAGCGUAGACGGCAGUGCAAGUCCGGAGUGAAAGCC